rnacentral:tRNA from 1 species
CAAGAAGUAGUUUAAUAAAAAUUUUAAUUUUGGAGAUUAAUGAUAAAGGAUAAAUCUUUUUUCUUGA